CUCUGCUUAGCCUUUCUGUGCCGGCUCACGAACAGGAUGCAGCCAGCUUCUUGGAACCUUGGGCACGGACUGCUAGAAAAUGGACCUGACCAGGAGACGCCCGCCACACACAGCCUUUGUCUUUCUGAGAGAACUGAUGGGAGGCCGCACAAGCUACUCAGGAAGCUGAGUUUUAACCCGGGACCCUUCCCUUCCUGGGCUGGGCAAGUUCCUUCCUCAGCUUCUGGGAAAGGACAGAGAAGCCCCAGGUGAAGAGAGAACUCGCUGGGUCUCCCUGCACCUCCCUGAGAUUUAUGGUGCAUCUGUGAUGGAAGGCCACCCGGGCCGGGCACCUCACCUGUGUGGGUAUUCACGUGAUUCUUAAGGAGUGUGGCGGUCCGGAAGGCCUUUAGGCACAGGUGGCACAGGUGUGGCCGCUCAUUGCUGUGAAUUUUGACAUGACGAUUGAAAGUUGAGAGCUUGGAGGAAGUGAACGGGCAGGUGUCGCACUGAAAGGUCUGAGGUUUCCCUGUAGAGAGAAGACACACACCAGUGUAGCUGGAAAGAUCAUCCCUUGAGCAACUCCCCAGAGGCCGAUGUGACUUCCUUAGCCUAGUGCUGUUGAGGGUUAUGAGAUAUCUCAAAACCUCAGGACGUUCCGUUUUUGAUGAAGAACAUCUUGUUAAGAAGUACCGAGCUUCUGUUUCCUGCCACAGGGCUGUCCAGGUCCCAAACCCACCCUCCCUGUUGUUAACAAUAGACAACAGUGUGGCCCCCAGAACACUGGUAACUCCAGUUCCAGGGGUCUGAUGCCCUCUUCUGGACACUAUGGGAACUGCACACAGGUGGUACACAGAAAUACGUACAUUCUUCCAAAGCUACAGAGAGAAACCCUGUCUUGAAAAUCAAGAAACAAACAAACAAACCAAUCAGUCUUGUUAAACUGUCAUUUACAGUGUGGUAUAGAUCAAGGAGGUCAGAAGACAAGGUGUCUGCUCCAAGCAGGGAUUCCCAGAAACAAGUCUCCCAUAGACAUGGACCCGAGUGGGUAUGUUCUCUGUUGGGUAAAAUGAAGACUCCCCGCCCCCCAGCCCCCAGUGCCUUCCCAGAAUCCUCCACCUAAGCCAGGAGAGCUCUGGGAAACUGGCAUGAAGCUGAACAAAGCCACAGCCCACAGCCACAAGCGACUAUUUAAAUUUGUAUC
rnacentral:lncRNA from 1 species